AUUGAACGCUGGCGGCAGGCCUAACACAUGCAAGUCGAACGGUAACAGGAAGAAGCUUGCUUCUUUGCUGACGAGUGGCGGACGGGUGAGUAGUGUCUGGGAAACUGCCUGAUGGAGGGGGAUAACUACUGGAAACGGUAGCUAAUACCGCAUAAUGUCGCAAGACCAAAGAGGGGGACCUUCGGGCCUCUUGCCAUCGGAUGUGCCCAGAUGGGAUUAGCUAGUAGGUGGGGUAACGGCUCACCUAGGCGACGAUCCCUAGCUGGUCUGAGAGGAUGACCAGCCACACUGGAACUGAGACACGGUCCAGACUCCUACGGGAGGCAGCAGUGGGGAAUAUUGCACAAUGGGCGCAAGCCUGAUGCAGCUAUGCCGCGUGUAUGAAGAAGGCCUUCGGGUUGUAAAGUACUUUCAGCGGGGAGGAAGGGAGUAAAGUUAAUACCUUUGCUCAUUGACGUUACCCGCAGAAGAAGCACCGGCUAACUCCGUG
rnacentral:rRNA from 1 species